UAUGGAGAGGACUAUGGGACGGAAGUGACAGUGAAUGUGCUGAAAUCUAUAAACAGGAGAGAUCUGGCUGAGAAACUCUCUGAGACACUGAGACCUGAUGGUUUAACUCCAGUCCCAGAACCUCAGCAAUCCCCAAAGCCAGGGGACAAAGACCGUCCCAAAGGUAUUUUCCUCUUACACCCCUUUGGUUUUACCUUUACUUAGCACUUCUAGUUAAAAAAAAAAAAUGCAACACUGGUAGGUUUUAAAUCCUGAACCAGACCAUGGAGUAGCUGUUCUAGAAACUCUGACGCUUCUCAGGGGUACCAGGGCUGUGAGGCACCUUGUUACCACCUGCCCUUAGUGUGAGGAAACCUUGUCUGUGCCUGCCAGAGGCCAGCUCAGCU
rnacentral:lncRNA from 1 species